rnacentral:rRNA from 1 species
AUUGAACGCUGGCGGCAGGCUUAACACAUGCAAGUCGAGCGAGCGGCGGACGGGUGAGUAAUGUCUGGGAAACUGCCUGAUGGAGGGGGAUAACUACUGGAAACGGUAGCUAAUACCGCAUACCAUCAGAUGUGCCCAGAUGGGAUUAGCUAGUAGGUGGGGUAAUGGUUCACCUAGGCGACGAUCCCUAGCUGGUCUGAGAGGAUGACCAGCAAAACGGGAACUGAAACCCGGCCCGGAUUCCUCCGGAAGGAAGCGGUGGGAAAUAUUGCAAAAUGGGCGCAGGCCUAAGGAAGCAAUGCCGCGUGUAUGAAGAAGGCCUUCGGGUGGUAAAGUACUUCCGGCGGGGAGGCGUUACCCGCAGAAGAAGCCCCGGCUAACUCCGUGCCAGCAGCCGCGGUAAUAC